GGGGGGGGCAAGCGUUGUUCGGAAUUACUGGGCGUAAAGGGCUCGUAGGUGGCCAACUAAGUCAGACGUGAAAUCCCUCAGCUUAACUGGGGAACUGCGUCUGAUACUGGAUGGCUUGAGUUUGGGAGAGGGAUGCGGAAUUCCAGGUGUAGCGGUGAAAUGCGUAGAUAUCUGGAGGAACACCGGUGGCGAAGGCGGCAUCCUGGACCAACACUGACACUGAGGAGCGAAAGCCAGGGGAGCAAACGGGAUUAGAUACCCCGGUAGUCCUGGCCCUAAACGAUGAAUGCUUGGUGUGGCGGGUAUCGAUCCCUGCCGUGCCGAAGCUAACGCAUUAAGCAUUCCGCCUGGGGAGUACGGUCGCAAGGGUG
rnacentral:rRNA from 1 species